CAGUCGCCGCGGGAAUACAGAGGAUGCAAGCGUUAUCCGGAAUGAUUGGGCGUAAAGCGUCUGUAGGUGGCUUUUCAAGUCCGCCGUCAAAUCCCAGGGCUCAACCCUGGACAGGCGGUGGAAACUACCAAGCUGGAGUACGGUAGGGGCAGAGGGAAUUUCUGGUGGAGCGGUGAAAUGCGUUGAGAUCGGAAAGAACACCAAUGGUGAAAGCACUCUGCUGGGCCGACACUGACACUCAUAGACGAAAGCUAGGGGAGCAAAUGGGAUUAGAUACCCGUGUAGUCCCUGUCUCUUAUAA
rnacentral:rRNA from 1 species